AAUACAUGCAAGUCGAACGAACUUCCGUUAAUUGAUUAUGACGUACUUGUACUGAUUGAGAUUUUAACACGAAGUGAGUGGCGAACGGGUGAGUAACACGUGGGUAACCUGCCCAGAAGUAGGGGAUAACACCUGGAAACAGAUGCUAAUACCGUAUAACAGAGAAAACCGCAUGGUUUUCUUUUAAAAGAUGGCUCUGCUAUCACUUCUGGAUGGACCCGCGGCGUAUUAGCUAGUUGGUGAGGUAAAGGCUCACCAAGGCAGUGAUACGUAGCCGACCUGAGAGGGUAAUCGGCCACAUUGGGACUGAGACACGGCCCAGACUCCUACGGGAGGCAGCAGUAGGGAAUCUUCCACAAUGGACGAAAGUCUGAUGGAGCAACGCCGCGUGAGUGAAGAAGGGUUUCGGCUCGUAAAGCUCUGUUGUUAAAGAAGAACGUGGGUAAGAGUAACUGUUUACCCAGUGACGGUAUUUAACCAGAAAGCCACGGCUAACUACGUGCCAGCAGCCGCGGUAAUACGUAGGUGGCAAGCGUUAUCCGGAUUUAUUGGGCGUAAAGCGAGCGCAGGCGGUCUUUUAAGUCUAAUGUGAAAGCCUUCGGCUCAACCGAAGAAGUGCAUUGGAAACUGGGAGACUUGAGUGCAGAAGAGGACAGUGGAACUCCAUGUGUAGCGGUGAAAUGCGUAGAUAUAUGGAAGAACACCAGUGGCGAAGGCGGCUGUCUGGUCUGCAACUGACGCUGAGGCUCGAAAGCAUGGG
rnacentral:rRNA from 1 species